AAUUUCAGCUGAAAAAGUCAUGAACAUAAAAGUUGUAGAGCUCAUCAAGACAUACAACUUUUAUUUUGAUCAUUUCUUCAUCCGAUAAAGUGACAGUAGUAUUAUUCACAAAGUUUACAUAUCUCCUUUAUAGUUUAUAGAACCAAAUGAUAUAGAUGUAAAUUUUGUAAACAAUACUACUAUCACUUUGUCGGAUGAAGAAAUGACCAAAAUAAAAGUUAUAGAUCUUGAUGAGUUAUACAACUUUGUUGUUGAUGACUUUUUCAGUUGAAAUC
rnacentral:pre_miRNA from 1 species